rnacentral:lncRNA from 1 species
GGGGAAGUGCAUGGAACUUCUCCACCAGCUGUGGAUACUCUUAGAAUCCAAAACGCAUUUUUUAAAGCUGCUUCUGGAAUGUUCUCUUCAAUCUGAGGCGUGGAACCGGUAUAUUAAUGAUCUAUGUAACUGAAUAGCACAGUAAGGCACACUCCUAGCCCUCAGAUGCUUAGAAGGCCAAGAACCUAUCAGGAGACGUCUGAGGAGAGGUGUUGAGUCCUAACGAUCAAUGUGAUUGGCUUAGGAUCAAGGCCAAGGACCAAUCAGGAGACGUCUGAGGAAAGGCGGAGUCCUAAUGAUCAAUGUGAUUAGUUUGAGACCCUCCUAGGAGACUCUAGCAGCAGGGAGCAUCCCAGGGGCUUGUCUGUGGGGCUACAUUGCACUCAGUUCCCCUGGUGUGUUAUUUUUCUCUGCUUCCUGGGAGCCAUGAUUUGAGCUUCUCUGCUUCACCAUACUCCCCACCACAUGCGCUAACACCUCUGAGACAGUGAGCCUAAAUAGACCCUUCCUGCCUUCAGUUGUCCAUGUUAAGUACUCCGGCCAAAAUACUACAUAAAUGUAUACGAAGACAUCACAAGAUGUAGAAAGGGGGCAUAUAUGAACACGGUGUGUAAAGAGACUCGAAUAUGAACUCGAAACCCAGAUGGGAUGUGAGCGGCCUGGGAAGGAGGGUGCAGAGGGGAACUGCGAAAGAGUCUGAGACAGGGAGCCACCUCCACAUGAAACCUUCAGGUUGAUUCCCUUCUGGGUACUGAAACUGUGACCCUUUGGAAGUGAAGGUGGGGAGAGCUUACGUGACAGGAGGGAACCAGACAGGAACCAGGCUAGACUGUUUUGUGAGGCAGAGUUGGGAGGUGAAGGGUGCUGGCCAGCUGGCUGGUGCUCAGAUCUGGGGCCAAGCAUUUCCCUGCAUGCUAUGCCACUUCCCACUGUUCUCACACCCAAACCCGUUUCCACGGAGUCCUGUAGAGUCUCCGUUCCCCUAGUGCAAACAUUCCUAACUGGUGUACAUACCCUCUUCCGUUUCAUCCCUGCAAGAGGAGCCUCAUUACUAGCCUUUCACGGGCCACUUAGGUUUCAGAGAAGGAAUGAGGCUUGGUGAGAAAGUUGCCGCAAAUCAAGUCAUGAAUCCGUGUACCUUGGUUCAAGCUCGGAUCUGAUUUCAAAGCCCGGGGUCUCAGGCGUCUCUCCAGUGGUACCCGGGGUGCACUUUCCCAGGGUGCCAGUAACAAAGGUGACAGAAACCGUGUAGCUUUGAAUGACAGAACCCGAUUGUCUUAUGGUUCUGCAGGCAGGAAGCUGAGAUCAAGAGGUCUCCAGGGCCACCUGCUUCAGAAACCUACACGGAUCAGCCCCUCCCAGUGACACUAGCCACCUGCACCUCAGUGCUAUGGCUUUUCAGCCCUCCGAACCACGGUGUCCCUGCCCUGGUCUCUUCUCUUCUCAUAAGGACACAGCCUCAGUAGGUUGGACCCCUCCCUACCACCUGUCCUCUUGCUUAUAUAGGCAAAAAAAAAAAAAAAAAAAAAAAAAAAAAAGCCCUCCUUCCACACAAAGCCAAGUUCACAAGACUUGGAAUAGUUCAUGACCAUUUCCCAAGGGGAAGCAACUCAAGCCACAGCAUAGUAGUGUCUCUUCAGAGAACAAAACCCAAGGGAGGGAGAGAAUCAAGACAGGGUAAGCCAGGAAGGUAAGCAACACUCGACCGACCGACUGGUUUCUCUCCUCUCCCCUGCUUUCUUCUUUUGUAUACUGGGUUGUGAUGGGCAAGACAGUCACAGAACAGAAUGUUAAAUUAAGAAGGGUUAUCAAUCCAGAUAUUUACAUUUUGUUCGUAUUAUAGCAGGGUCUUGGGUAAACCAGGUUAGCCUCAGACUCACUAUGUAGCUUAGAUUGACCUUGGUCUUCUGUCCUCCCCAACACCCAAUGCCACCUCUUGAGGGCUGGGUUACAGGGAUGUACCAACAUGCCUGGGUUACAGGGAUGUACCAACAUACAGGGAUUGAACCCUGGACUUCAUGCAUGUUAGACAAGUAUUCCACCAACUAAACUGCAUCUCCAGACCCAGAUAGUUAAAUCUUUGACGAGCAGCCCCUCACAUUGGAGGAAACAAGGAAUGGAGGGAAAAGAGAAGCCAGCAAUCGACCCAGAUGAGUGCCAAUGGUGCUUUGCUCAUCUGUCACCAGGCGAGCACAGCCCAGCAAGCUCACCCAGGAACCAUCAGCUGCUGUGCACCUUGAUAAAUGUUUGCAUUCGAGCCUGCUCCACGUGUUUCCUCCUGACUUCUGGUCUGUGUCUUUGGGUGAGUUUGCAUGAAAAGAUCUGCAGAAGGGGUGUGUAGGAAUGGAAGAGGGUUCAUGAUGACUUCCGGUAAGCACAUGGUUCCACCGCUGCCCAAUGUGGUGCACUCUGGUGUCAGGCUCAUUUCUGACACUCUUAGUCCCAGUGCAUCCAGCCUUCUGCCACGGAGGAAAGAGGAAAUGAAGAUCACCCUGGCGAUGCUUCUUCUAGGACUGCAAUUCCUAGCAGCGUGAGGCAGAGUUCCAGGCUCUCUGAAUCCUGAAGUCUCAGUCUUCCAGCUUCAGCCUUUGACUUCAUAUAUGGUCACAUUUAUUUAGCUUUCAUCGUAGGGAAAUUCUGGAGGGCUUGGGGAAAUGACUAGGCAGGCAAGAACAUCUGAUGACCAAGCUUGAAGACUACGGUUCAAAUCUCUAGUAUGCGUGUAAGAAGCUGGGCAUAGUCACACUUACAGGUAACCCCAGUGAUGUGCAAGAUGGAGACAGGAGGAUUACCCGGGCUUGUCUACUGCCAACCUAGCUCUGGAUUCGCUGAGAGGUCAUCCUGUAGGGGACAAGGCAGAGAGUGACAAAGCAGGACACCUGCCUUCCUCCUCUGACCUCUACAUGUGCACAGGUGUACAAAGCAACUAACACAUAUGUGUAACAACACACACACACACACACACACAGACACCAGGUCCAUCUUGACUAUGAAGUUCAUGAGUCUAUGAAACUUUGGUGCUGAGAGAUAAACCCAGACUUUGAAGUCAGACUUAUGCCAACUACUAAAGCACGUGUGACAUUGGGCAAGCCAAGCUGCCUCGCCUCUCUAAACAUUGGUUCUUCAUGUGAGAGCCCAGGUGUGGAUCUGGGAGAUGACUUAGCUGGUAAAGUGCUUGCCCUGCAACCAUGAGGACUUGAGUUUAAUGCCCAGAAUCCACACUAAAGAGAAAAACAAAACAAACACAUACACAAAAAAACCUAGAAGUGUUGGCUUACACUUGUAGUUCUAGUACUUGGGACUUGGACUUUGGUGAUUUCAAUAUGCUUGCCCCAGGGAGUGGCACUAUUAGGAAGUGUGGCCUUGUUGGAGGAAGUAUGUCACUGUGGGGGUAGGCUUGGAGACCCUCAUUCUAGAUGCCUGGAAGCUAGUCUCCUGUCUGCCUUUGGAUGAAGACUUAGAACUCUCAGCUCCUCCUGCAACAUGCUUGCAUGAAUGCUGCCAAUGCUUCUUGCCUUGAUGAUAAUGGGCUAAACCUCUGAACCUGUAAGCCAGCCCCAAUGAAACGCUGUCCUUACAAGAGUUGCCUUGGUCAUGGUGUCUGUUCACAGCAGUAAAACCCUAACUAAGACAAGGACUCAGGUAGAUAGAUCCCUUGGCCU